CCUACGGGAGGCUGCAGUGGGGAAUAUUGGACAAUGGGGGGAACCCUGAUCCAGCGACGCCGCGUGAGUGAAGAAGUCUUUCGGUAUGUAAAGCUCUAUCAGCAGGGAAGAAAGACAUGACGGUACCUGACUAAGACGCCCCGGCUACCUACGUGCCAGCAGCCGCGGUACUACGUCGGGGGCAAGCGUUAUCCGGAUUUACUGGGUGUAAAGGGAGCGUAGACGGCGAUGCAAGUCUGAAGUGAAAGGCGGGGGCCCAACCCCCGGACUGCUUUGGAAACUGUAUGGCUGGAGUGCAGGAGAGGUAAGUGGAAUUCCUAGUGUAGCGGUGAAAUGCGUAGAUAUUAGGAGGAACACCAGUGGCGAAGGCGGCUUACUGGACUGUAACUGACGUUGAGGCUCGAAAGCGUGGGGAGCAAACAGGAUUAGAUACCCGGGUAGUC
rnacentral:rRNA from 1 species